GAUGACGUCACCGCGGCGGGAACCGGAAGGGGCGGGGCCAUGGAGGGACAGGGGGGCCUUGGGGACACCGAGGGACACCUGAGUGACGUCAGCGGAGGUGCCACCAACGCCGUGACCUCGGGGACAGCGACACCAGGAGGUGACAAAGCCCUGGUGGCCACCGCGGGGGGCGUGGCCAUGGAGGGGACAGAGGGACCGGGGGGCAGCGGUGGCCUUGGGGACACUUUGGGACAUCUCAAUGACGUCAUUGAAGAUGCCACCACCGUGGUGACCUCUGUCCCAGCGUCCCCAGGAGGUGACAAAGUCCUGGUGGCCACCAGUGGAGACCUGGCCAUGGAGGUGACCGAUGCCCCAGGUGCCACCAACUGCUCCUGGGACACUUUGGGACGUGUCCCCGAAGCCCCCGGAGAUGCCACCACGAUGGUUGGAGCUGUGACCACGUCCCCAGGAAGUGACAAAUCCCUGGUGGCCUCUGGUGGGGACGUGGCCAUGGAGGUGACCGAAGACCCGAGUGCCACCAGUGACCCCAGGGACACUUUGGGACACCUCAACGAUGUCACUGGAGAUGCCACCACCCCAGCUGGAGCUGUGACCACGUCCCCAGGAGGUGACAAAGUCCUGGUGGCCACCAGUGGGGACCUGGCCAUGGAGGGGACAGCCCAGCCCGGUGUCACCGGUGACCCCAGGGACACUUUGGGACACCUCAAUGACGUCAUUGAAGAUGCCACCACCACGGUGACCUCUGUCCCAGCGUCCCCAGGAGGUGACAAAGUCCUGGUGGCCACUGCAGGGGGCGUGGCCAUGGAGGUGACAGCCCAGCCCGGUG
ensembl:lncRNA